UUCCUUACUUGCAGUUACUCUUGAAUGUUAUGUUUCUUAUUUUUCUGUUUUACUUCUCAUUUAUGUACAGUGAAAUAUUAGGUGAUGUACUGUUUUUGAUUAUUAGAUUUAAAAAACUUUAUAAGAAUUGUUGCAUUGUGAAAUAUGAGACAUUGUGUUUUUGUUAGUUUAUGAAACAUAAAUGUUUAUAUGUACUAUAUACUACUAAAUAUGCUGUGAUGGUCUCUAAAUUCUUGCAAAUGUUACGUGAAAUAUGGCUGCACCUCUUAACAGAAGCUAAAACUAUAGUUAUAUACUCUUUAUUAGCACUUGUGUCUCAUUAAAUCAGCUGUACACACAGCACUGUCCCACUGCUAUCUGUGGACAUGUUGCUAUGGUGUUUGUGGGCGCAACAUACUGCAUAAUCAACUGGUAUCGCUAAUAAUAGCUAACAAUGAACCUGGAUACAACAGAUAUUACAAAUGGCUGACCUGGCUAGUUGUACUGGAAUGUGGUUAACUUGAAUGUGACGUCAUUCCCAGCUCUGAUUUCCAAGGUAAAUGGAACACAGCAUUAAACCUGGGAGGUAACCAGUUCUGUAAAUUGAAAGUAAAUGCAGCUAACUUAUCGGGGAGGUUGUCUAUUGUUUAAACUGAGAGACACUGUCCCAUAGUGACUACUCAACAGAACCAGGGUGAGGCUAUUUUUUAACUCAUCCAUUCCAAUUAAAAUAAAAAAGAGCACCUCUCUCCCUCCGCAUUACGGCACCGUGGACACCGACUGCCGGCGGUCUUCACACAGUCCCUGGCUGUCAAGAACAAUUUCACCAAUAAAUUAUUUUUAAACUACGAGUUGAAAGUGGUCAUUUGGUGCUUUCGAUAAACUGAUGCGGGAAGCUGUCUGUAGCUGUGAGUGUGUUACGUCAUCUAUUUGCGCGCGCCCGUCUCUUUGAAUGAAGAGACCAUUAGCCAAUAGAAAUAAAGCGCACAGCCAGCAGCUCACGCAUGCCCGUGAAUCACAACAGCAGCCACCGCCAGUUACACCGCUAAAUGGAAAGUGUUUUUGGGGCCUCUCCCCCAAGAGGCCGUUUUCAUACUUUUGGCUAAAUCAUGAGUGGAGUAAAUGUGAAUAAAUUAAAGGCCAACGAGCUCAAAGAGGAACUCCAGCGGCGAGGCCUGGACACCCGAGGUCUGAAAGAGAAUCUCGUCGACAGACUGGAAGUUGUCCUUGAGGCUGGGGUCACAGGCGAGGGGGGUGGGACACUGGGGUCAAUGGAUAAAGCGUGUGUGGGGGGAGAUGGAGCCGGCGAGGAAUCCCAGGACACAGAAGAGUUUGUGAUGAAGGUGGAGAUAAAGGAAGAGCCAGAGGAGCAGCAGCAUCUGCAUCGGGAGCCGACCAAUGACUGCAAAGCCCAGGAGGCCGUGCGGGUUAAGAUGGAGGACAGGCACAUGCCUUAUGGCCGUAAGAGACCCUACGCUGAGGCCCAAGCGAUCAGCUACUCUGAACUCCGGGAGCACAAGAGGUCACGUUCACCCCAGCCUCCAGUGAAGGAGGAAGAGGAAGACUUUGAUGAUACUCUGGUGGCUAUUGACACUUACAAUUGUGACCUGCACUUCAAGGUGUCUCGUGACCGGUACAGUGGCUACCCCCUCACUAUCGAGGGCUUCGCCUAUCUGUGGUCGGGCGCCCGGGCCUCUUAUGGCGUCGCCAAAGGCCGUGUCUGCUAUGAAGUCAAGAUUAGUGAUGAGAUCCCAGUAAAGCGCCUGUCCACCAGCGAGCCUGAUCCUCAUGUCGUGAGAGUUGGUUGGUCCCUGGAUUCCUGCAGGAUGCAACUGGGUGAGGAGCCUUUCUCCUUUGGAUAUGGAGGAACAGGCAAGAAAUUCUUGGACUGUAAAUGUGAAGAUUAUGGCAAAAGGUUUGGAAAAAAUGAUGUCCUUGGUUGUUACAUAGACUUUGAAAGUGGAGAAGAUAUCGAGAUAUGUUUUUCGAAGAAUGGGAAAUGGCUGGAGACAGCGUACUGCAUCAAGAGAGAAGAGCUGGCCGGACGAUCUCUUUUCCCGCACGUUCUGGUCAAGAACUGUGCAGUGGAGUUCAACUUUGGCCAGAAAGAGUCUUUCUUCCCUCAGCCAGACGGAUAUACCUUUAUCCAGAAUGUUCCAGUAGAGGACCGGGUCCGAGGCACCGUGGGACCUUCCUGUAAAGCUGAAUGUGAGAACACCAAACCUGCUGGCGUUGACCCACGUGGAGCCCAAACAAAGAUGAUCUUUGAAGUCAGGGACGGAUGCACGUCUCCGCGUGCAAAACCUACUGCUUAUGUUGGACGUAAGAGGCCACGUCGAGUGAUUGACCUGGAAACCAAAAUAAAACUGAUUAAAGACUACGAAGGUGGAAAAUCGGUGAUGGUUAUUGCUCGCCAGACAGGCAUGUCCCAUUCCACCAUAGUUACAAUAUUGAAAAACAAGAACAAAGUAACAGAAGCUGUUAAAGGAUCUGCUUCAUUGAAAACAACGAGACUGACAAAAAUUCGAGAAGGGCCUAUAUCAGACAUGGAGAAACUUCUAAUAACCUGGAUGGAAGAUCAGACACAGAAGCGUAUCCCGCUCAGCACCAUGAUGAUCACGGCCAAAGCAAAAAGUUUGUUUGCGAUGUUGAAAGAAAAGGCUGGACCCGACUAUGAUGUUGAAUUUACCGCUAGCUCUGGGUGGCUUAAACGUUUCAAAAACCGUUAUUCGUUACAAAGUGCGAAAGCGAGUGGGGAGUCGGCGAGCGCUGAUGUGAAGGCAGCUGAGGCAUUUUUGGAAUCUCUAGAUAAGUUGAUUGUGGAGGAAAAUUACUUGCCAGAGCAAAUUUUCAAUAUGGAUGAAACCUCCCUAUUCUGGAGACAAAUGCCAGAAAGGACUUCCAUCCGUAAGGAGGCGAGGUCAAGGCCAGGUUUCAAGGCUUUUAAAGACAGGAUAACAGUCUUGCUUGGGGGCAAUGUUGCAGGCUACAAACUGAAACCCUUUGUGAUCUGGCACAGUAAGAACCCUAGGGCCUUCAAACAUAUCGAUAAGCACACACUGCCAGUGUACUACAGGAGCAAUAGAAAGUCAUGGAUGACCCAGCUUCUCUUCCAAGAUGCCCUCCUGAAUUGCUAUGCCAGCGAAAUGGAGAAGUACUGCCUGGAGAGUGAUAUACCUUUCAAGAUAUUGCUUAUUAUUGAUGAUGCUCCCGGACAUCCUCCUUUCAUUGGUGAUCUUCAUCCCAAUAUCAAAGUGGUGUUUCUCCCUCCAAACAACAGCUCUUUGAUCCAACCAAUGGAUCAGGGAGUUAUUGCAGCUUUUAAAGCUUACUACAUGAGGAGGACCUUCGCCCAGGCUAUUGAUGCAUCCGAAGAAAACACUGAAAAGAGACUGAGGCAAUUCUGGAAGGAUUACAACAUCUAUGACUGCAUCAAGAACCUUGCUUGGGCUUGGGGUGAUGUCACGAAAGAGUGUAUGAAUGGCAUCUGGAAGAAGACACUCAAGAGGUUUGUCCAUGACUUCAAAGGAUUUGCCAAGGAUGAAGAGGUUGCAACAGUCACCAAGGCUGUGGUUGAGAUGGCAAACAACUUCAACUUGGGUGUCAAUGAGGACGAUAUUAUGGAUCUCCUGGGGAUGGGUCCUGAUGAACUGACCAAUGAGGAGUUGUUGGAACUGGAACAGGAACGCAUAGCUGAAGAAGAGGCACGAGAAAAGGAAACUGCAGGAAAAGAAAAAGAACAACACCCCCCAAGAAAAUUCACAGUGAAGGGUUUAGCAGAAGCUUUUGCAGACCUCCAGAAGCUCCUUAAGAAGUUUGAAAAGAUGGAUCCCAACACCAAAAGGUUUUCAUUAAUAGAGAGGAAUGUUCACGGUGCAUUAUCUGCUUACAAGCAAAUCUAUGAUGAAAAAAAGAAACAGGUCAAGCAAACCAUAUUUAUGAAAUGAGUGGCAGCUCCUCUGAAGAGGUUCAGGCAGCUCCUUCAGGAGUUAUUCCAGAAGAAGGCGUUGUCAUCGCAGGAGAUGACAGAUACAUGCAAGUUAGUGCUGUUGAGGACAUGGAACAAGAUGUGGAGCUGGAGAUUUUAACAAAAAAAAUUAAGAAGUACAAAUUAAUCAAAUAUUUGAAAUAGCUUACAGAAUAAGGAUAUAAAGAAAAUAUUUUUGUACAGCUGUAUAGUGUGUUUAUGUUUCACGCUGUUUUCACCAAAGAGUUAAAAAGAUUUUCAAAAGAUAAGUAAGUUAAGGUUAAUUUAUUAUCAGAGAAAGAGAUUUUUAUGAAUUUAGUGCAGCCUAAGUGUACAGUGUUUUUAGAGUCUACAGUGGUGUCCUAGGCUUCCACAUCACUCACCACUCAGUCAUCAACUCACCCAGUGCAACUUCCAGUCCUGCAAGCUCCUUUCAUGAGGAAACUUCAAGUGUCUGUGAAGAAAGUAACAGCCCAGCAGCCACAGCAUCUUUUUUUAAAAAAAGAGACACUGGAUAAAUAAGAUGGGACUCUGGAUGAAGAUGAUGAAUCACUCAGGGCUUCCCUGGAGUUUCCCGGAUCACCUCAUAUCAUCCCCAGUGCUGUGCAUGUUGUUAGCUGUGGGCUGCAGGAAUGAUGUCGCUUACUGAACAAGCCAACGUAAAGAGGAAGGAGUUGGAGUUACAGGCCACAGACUAAAGGUUAACGCAACAAUGGUAGCAGCAGACAUCAUACGGUUUUGUCCACAAACAAAGCUACUAGAACCUACAGUAUUACUGUGGCAUUUGCUGUUUGUAGUGUGCUGCAUACAUUGUAUGGCUCACUGGGGUAGUGAGUUAGUGAUAUGCACAGUAAACAGUGAGUUCCACUAUGCAAUGAAAAUCAUACUGUCCUUUUACUUAACAAAUUAACACAAAACAGAUUAGAAGUACAGUUUGUUGCAAGUGUAAAUUAAGGCGCAUGUACAGUAACAAGAAUAAAUACAAUUAUCAUGAGAAAUACAUAGACUUGGUGCAAUGUAACAUUGUGACAAUGUACCUGUACUACUACUUUUACAAAUGACAAAUAAAGCAUCAUUUCUUUUCCUACAGUGUA